rnacentral:rRNA from 1 species
ACAGCGAUGUGGAGCAAACCCCUAAAAAACUAGGUCUCAGUUCAGAUUGAAGGCUGAAAUUCGCCUUCAUGAAGCCGGAAUUGCUAGUAAUGGCAGGUCAGCAUACUGCCGUGAAUACGUUCCCGGGCCUUGUACACACCGCCCGUCACACCAUGAGAGUUGGGAAUACCCGAAGCCUGUGAGCUAACUUUUAGAGGCAGCAGUCGAAGGUAGAAUCAAUGAUUGGGGUGAAGUCGUAACAAGGUAUC